rnacentral:ncRNA from 1 species
UAUCUGGUUGAUCCUGCCAGUAGUCAUAUGCUUGUCUCAAAGAUUAAGCCAUGCAUGUCUAAGUAUAAGCACUCGUACUGUGAAACUGCGAAUGGCUCAUUAAAUCAGUUAUCGUUUAUUUGAUUGUACCUUUACUACUUGGAUAACCGUGGUAAUUCUAGAGCUAAUACAUGCGAAAAGUCCCGACUUCUGGAAGGGAUGUAUUUAUUAGAUUCAAAACCAAUGCGGGUUCUGCCCGGUCGUUUGGUGAUUCAUAGUAACUGUUCGAAUCGCAGGGCCUCGCGCCGGCGAUGUUUCAUUCAAAUUUCUGCCCUAUCAACUGUCGAUGGUAAGGUAUUGGCUUACCAUGGUUACAACGGGUGACGGAGAAUUAGGGUUCGAUUCCGGAGAGGGAGCCUGAGAAACGGCUACCACAUCCAAGGAAGGCAGCAGGCGCGCAAAUUACCCAAUCCUGACCCAGGGAGGUAGUGACAAGAAAUAACAAUACAGGGCUUUUCUAAGUCUUGUAAUUGGAAUGAGUACAACUUAAAUCCUUUAACGAGGAUCCAUUGGAGGGCAA